rnacentral:rRNA from 1 species
AACGAACGCUGGCGGCAGGCCUAACACAUGCAAGUCGAACGCCCCGCAAGGGGAGUGGCGCACGGGUGAGUAGCGCGUGGGAAUAUGCCCUUCGGUUCGGAAUAACACAGGGAAACUUGUGCUAAUACCGGAUACGAUCUACGGAUGAAAGAUUUAUCGCCGAGGGAGUAGCCCGCGUAGGAUUAGCUAGUUGGUGAGGUAAUGGCUCACCAAGGCGACGAUCCUUAGCUGGUCUGAGAGGAUGAUCAGCCACACUGGGACUGAGACACGGCCCAGACUCCUACGGGAGGCAGCAGUGGGGAAUAUUGGACAAUGGGCGAAAGCCUGAUCCAGCCAUGCCGCGUGAGUGAUGAAGGCCUUAGGGUUGUAAAGCUCUUUCGCCCGGGAAGAUAAUGACGGUACCUGGAAAAGAAGCCUCGGCUAACUCCGUGCCAGCCGCCGCAGUAA